ACACUCCUACGGGAGGCAGCAGUGGGGAAUAUUGCACAAUGGGCGCAAGCCUGAUGCAGCCAUGCCGCGUGUAUGAAGAAGGCCUUCGGGUUGUAAAGUACUUUCAGCGGGGAGGAAGGCGAUAAGGUUAAUAACCUUGUUGAUUGACGUUACCCGCAGAAGAAGCACCGGCUAACUCCGUGCCAGCAGCCGCGGUAAUACGGAGGGUGCAAGCGUUAAUCGGAAUUACUGGGCGUAAAGCGCACGCAGGCGGUCUGUCAAGUCGGAUGUGAAAUCCCCGGGCUCAACCUGGGAACUGCAUUCGAAACUGGCAGGCUAGAGUCUUGUAGAGGGGGGUAGAAUUCCAGGUGUAGCGGUGAAAUGCGUAGAGAUCUGGAGGAAUACCGGUGGCGAAGGCGGCCCCCUGGACAAAGACUGACGCUCAGGUGCGAAAGCGUGGGGAGCAAACAGGAUUAGAAACCCCGGUAGUCCCA
rnacentral:rRNA from 1 species